rnacentral:lncRNA from 1 species
AAAAGAAAGAUUGUAUAAAAAGAAAAUAAAAAGUUUUUAAAGUUUCAGUUUAAGAGUGUGGUUGGAGAUGCUAGAAGAAUCGCUGGAAAUAUUGAGUUCUUAUAAAUCUAAACGAAAGAACUGCUUGUAGCUUGGAACUUGUGUUUACCUAUUCUUUCAUUUCAAUAACCCUCUCCCUAAACCUCAUUACGUCCAAUAAAAGUCCUCUUGAUUUAAGUUUUGCAAUUAUGAUUGUGGAGAUGAGAUCUUUAUGCAAGCUUAUGGUAGAAAUUUCACAUUUGAUUCUUUGAGCGAAACACAUUAAAACUAAACACAUGUGUGAUUGAGUGAAUAUUCAGUGAGAAGGUCGCUAGUUUGCAUAUGAUGAUUUUAAAAAUAAAAACUUGAAAUUGCAUUAGCAUGGCUAUCUCACACACUACACUUCAAGGAUGAUUCAAAGAUUACUGCUAAUAUUUGAAUAAGAAAGAUGAACUUGGAUUAGUUCCUUGAUGCUAGCUAUGGUUCUUGAUGAUUUGUUUUCUUGAAUGAAAUUCUAUGAGGGUCACAUAGAGGGAAGCUAAUGUUUUUCAUGUUAUUACUUUUUCAUAAUUUCUUUGUUUUGCUCGAGGACUAGCAAAAGUUAAGUGUGGGGGUAUUUGAUCGGAUCAUAUUUAUAUAUAUUUUUACUUCGAAUUCACUCGUCUUUUCUUAGUUAGUUCCUUAUAUUUUUGAGCUAUUUACGUUAUUUCUGUGUUUAUAGGAUUUGUUACGCAAAGAAAAUAAAAAUAGAACAAGUGAAAUUUUAUGUAAUAAAUUCGUCAAAACUGUCUGUGUAGAUCAGCUUUUGUGGUAAUCUCUCUUCUCUCGUUUUCUUGGAGAUCAGAAUUGUUUUAGCAAUAUUGUUCAUUGUGCUCCUCACCUUCUAUUGUCUAUGCUUUCAAAACCUGCUCACAAUUUACUACUCACAGGAUUUCACAUAUAAGUGAUUAUAAGUACAAUUCACAAUCAUUAGUCAUGUAGCAUUCUCACAGUUUAUAUUGAUGUCGUUCUGUGCUUCAGGUUCGCAUCUUUUCCCUA